rnacentral:rRNA from 1 species
UACGUAGGGGGCAAGCGUUGUCCGGAUUUAUUGGGCGUAAAGAGCGUGUCGGCGGCCAUACAGGUCAGCUGUGAAAACUCGAGGCUCAACCUCGAGACGUCGGUUGAAACCGUAUGGCUAGAGUCCGGAAGAGGAGAGUGGAAUUCCCGGUGUAGCGGUGAAAUGCGCAGAUAUCGGGAGGAACACCAGUGGCGAAGGCGGUUGCCUGGGGCUUUGCUGACGCUGAUGCGCGAAAGCGUGGGGAGCGAUCCGG